AUACUUUUCUUGGCUUUUAGGCUAAGAUUAAGUGUAGUAUCUGUUUUUAUUAGUUUAAUAUAUAAUACGUAAAUAAAUGGUUUACAUGAUAUUAAAUUAAUUUUUUUAAAGAGAGAGUCUGUUACAGUAACUUGUUGCUGUAGCUCUCGCGCGUAGCCUUUGUGUUGCACUACUGCAUUGGCCUGGCCCACCCUCC